UACGGAGGGUGCGAGCGUUGUCCGGAAUUACUGGGCGUAAAGGGCGCGUAGGCGGCCUGAUAAGUAGGGGGUGAAAUCCUGCGGCUUAGCCGCAGGGCUGCCUUCUAAACUGUCAGGCUAGAGCACGGUAGAGGCAGAUGGAAUUCCCGGUGUAGCGGUGGAAUGCGUAGAGAUGUGGAGGAACACCAAUGGCGAAGGCAGCCUUCUGGGCCAACACUGACGCUCAUGCACGAAAGCGUGGGGAGCAAACAGG
rnacentral:rRNA from 1 species